UUGUAGCCUGCAGUUCAUUUUCACAGGGAGCCGAGCAGGGAUCAGGAAAUUCCUGAAUAAGAGGAGAGUCAGAUCUUUCCAAGAGUGACUCUGCAGAAGUCUGAGUCACCACACUCGGCAGCGCUGUACAAUGGGAGCUCAAUACCACAACGUCCACCUCCUCCAGCUCUUCCAGGGAAAACACUGAUGUAACCUCUCCUGCAUGUCUUUGGUCUGCUGCGGGUGCUCCUCCUGGUUGGACACACCUGUAAAACCUCACCUGGGAGGCGUCCAGACAGCAUCCUUUUUAGAUGGCUGAGCCACCUCAACCGGCUCCUUUUGACGUUAAAUGAUUAAAAAAACAAAAAACAAAACGAAAAUCUGGUUGAACAACUCACACCUUAGUUUACUGGCAACAAAUCUCUUUUCCACUGAUGCAGUGCCAGCGGUGAUGCCAGAUCUAAAUCAAUAUUGUCUGAACAUGAUUCUCAGGCCCUUCAGUGGGACUGUAGUAAAGCCAGGCAGAAGUCUGCUGGAAAUCACUGCCCUAAAGGCUCAGGAAGACUCUCAAAAACAAGUGUUACUAAACGAAGUCCACUCAAAAAUUCAAAACAAAGCAUAUAUAAACAACAUCCAGAAACAUUACAGCCUUCUUUGGGUCAUAAAUGUAUGAAGCGUACUGAUCAGUCUAACACUGGUUUCUCAGAUGCGUUCCCAGUCAAAACCUGUUCACAUAUUCUUUUCCUUAUUCCUUUCUGACACCUUUCACCUUUCUUGAAGGUGUCCUCCUACAUACAUGUUUAGAUGACUGCCUCUUCUGCACGCUUGGAAGCAAAACCAAAAUACAAAAAGUGCCAGUGAGAGAAGUACCACUCUGCUGGUAAUAAGGAUUUAUCUGUCACUCAGACAAAUCAGUGUCGUCUGAUGGUCACUCCUAUACAUCCUGCUAUGACUUGGUCUAACCCUCACCCUAAAGAAGACUUAUUGCAAAACUAAGAAAGAGGGUACGGGAUAACAAAGCCCUCAAAAGAAUCAGAGCUGUUGCUCUCAGCAAUUUGCUUGGCAUACAUGGAAACUGUAUGCCAAACAACAUGAGAAAUGUCUAAAUAUCCUCUGCUGAAGAUACUUAAGGAGUAUUUUUAACAUGAAGUGGUGAGACAAACUACCAAAUGUUGAAAUAUUUGCCACCAAGCCUGCAUGCUAUCUUAUCUCGGCACCCAAACUUGCGCCAUAAAAGUAAAAGUAGUAGUAAGAGUCGAGAAAUGUCACCAACUGUAAACAUAGGGCGCAUUUUAAAUAAAACAAAAAAACCCCACAAACUGCUGAGUAGCUGAAAUGUUACGUCUUUCCAUUCUUCAUUGAUACAUUUCUUUCAGAACUACAGCAGCUGAUCUCUUUCAUUCUUCAACGCCUACAGGCUGUUAAAAUAAGAGAUGAUGCAACGCUGCGGUAAACAUGUGUCUGUCCCAGCUAUUUUGAAACCUGUUGUUGGCAUCAAAUUCAAAGAGAACAUUAAAAAAAAAAGAGGCUAAUUUCUAAUCGAAAGACAAAUGUUUUCCAUUUCAGGGUUUCACAUGUUGUCUUCUUAUUGCUUCGCCUAAAUACACCCUUAAAAUGAUUUGACUUCUGUUUUUAUCUCCAUUUUACACAAAGUCUGAACUCUUUUUGGAAAUAGGUAAUUAGUAAUGAGCUGCUGGUGCUUCGUAUUUAACAUUUCCUUUAGGGCAGGGGUGUCAAACCUAAGACCCGGGGGCCAAAAUCAGCCCUGCAAACGCUCUAAUUCGGCCCAUGGGGCAAAUGUGAAAAUAUGAAAUAGGACAUUAGACUCGUGCCGAUUGAUUUUUUUCAUUUAUUACAGCAGCGCUUCUUUAUAAUGUAGAAAAUCUGAGACGCACUGUUGAAAUUGCUCUUCUUUAACUUAUAUUAAGAUAUUUCAGGAGUUUAAUGUGCAGUCAAACUUCUUUAGAUGUAAAAUGAGUUCAAUAUCCCUGCUUUAAGGGGAAAAAAGGACAAGGAUUUAUGACCUCUGACUGUAAGCUUUGUGUAACUGGGGCCCUUUAUCACAAAACAGUUACCACUUCCACCCCAGAGAUACUUCCCCUCUAUUUCCCCCAGUAGCUAUUUAAACAAAAACCACAUGAGAAGAUCAAACAGGUAUGCAACAAAUACAAGGAUGUAAUGUUUUAAGGCAGCAAAGAUGUGAGAAAAAAGACUGGAUAUAGCAGAACUUUGCAUUUCUUCUCAUCUCAUCAUCUGAUGAGUCCUCGAGGUUAACUUGUGACCUCUUGAAGUCACCCUGACGCUGAGGUUGGAAAAACCCUGGAUUACACCCCUGCAGCUCUCCCUCAAGCAGCUGCACAGCUUACACGCUAACAUGUCAAAUUGUGUUUUUAUGUGUUAGUUGCAGGGGGUAAUUUUUCUGCAAACCAAGCACAAACGUUGUUUUUAAGUUAAAUGGAAAAGCUCUGUUUUUGCUGCUUCUCUGACAGGCUGAUGCCUUUGGUUGUUUCUGUUGAGACAUUCAGCCGUGAGCAGUUCCUGUUCCUGUUCCUGCCACCCCCCCACCCCCCCGGCUGCUGUUGCUGGGACCAACCGACACUCUCACUGAUGUGACAUAUACUAAUCAACUAUAAUAGGGUAAAAAAACAUGCAUGUAGGUCAUAGCGUAAAUAAGAGGUUCGAGCCGGUGCUUCCCCGCUUAUAAGCUCCACAUCCUUCCUCUUGCUGAACGCAGCAAGGAGCGAUGACUUUGACGUCGACACAUGGUCGACAUGUAAACAAAGCUGGCUGACCUGCCUCACCACAGAUGUCAUCACUGUGUUCCUUUGGGUUUGUUGUUGAUAUUGUCUUCAUAGAAACGGUGGAAAGGAACAAAAAAAAAAAAGAAAAAAGAUGCCAAAGUGUUGCGUGUGGUGUUGUGUACCGCUGAGUCUGUGCUACCAAAAGCUGUUGUUACAAAUGAGGUGAAAGGUAAGGGUACGUGAACGUGAGGAUGGCCACAUAGUCGUGUGGGUGAGUGAAAUGUUUUCAUGGCUGCCACCCACGUCAACACACCCUGUUUCCUCUUGAGUAAUCAUGUCAGUCAAAGCCUACACACCACUACUACUAUGAUAAUCCGAGCUGCUGUCUGUGAUUUGAUGAUUUUUCAGCCGAGAGUUUUUGCUGUACAGCGUUUCAUUAUUAUAUUAUUCUCCCUCGGCCUCAGAGGCAUAUGUCCUCCCCAUGGUUUCAACUCCCUGUUUAAACUGGUUUAAGCUGGGCUUUUGUAAUACAGAUGACGCCAUAUUUUUUUGCGCUGUGCCAUACUGCAAAUUUUGGUAUCAAUCUAUUACCAAGUAAAUACAAGCCCAGUAUUACCAAUGCCGAAAAGGCCACUUACAUGGGGGAGAGCAGUGUCCCAUGAUUUGUGAGAUGAAUCACUGAGUUUUACUUUUUACAAUAAUGAGUUAAUACAUGAAAACACACCCUUCAGCAUUGCGUAUAUUUUAAAAGUGGGGCAGCUUUUGUUGUUUAUAUGUGCUUUAUGCUAUAAAUAAAAUAGACGUGACCGUCACCACAAAAAGGGUCAGGCUUUAAUCAAACAGUUUGAGGUAUUGUUUUUUCUUUACAUGUUUUUUUAACACAAUUCAGCGGGCUACAUACUGAAUUCAGAGGUCCAGUAUCGAUCCAAUACCAAUACCCGCAUUGGUAUCAGUACUAUCGAUACACCUCUAGAUGGAAGUGGAAUUUCUUAAACACACCGAGUACAUCAGAGGACAAAUUUUCACUUCCACAAUAUUCAAAAUUUUCAAGGAGUGGUCGUCAGAAUAAAACAGGAUGUUUGCUUUGUGUGCAUGGCGAUUCAUAUGUCUGGUAAUCUAGGAAAGUUUUGGUGGGCAGCUUUGAGGAACAGUGCAUUAGACUGAACUUUCAAUAUUGAUAUAAACUUCAUCACCUUACAGAUUAGUGGGAUGUUGUGUUUCCUUUCCUUUUCUUUUUUUAUUCCUACUUUAGUGAAGUGCAUGCAGUCAUACCUAGAGUCAGUUUCUCCGAUGAAGUGGUGAUGAAGUCUUGACUGUUUAAAAGAGCUCAGAUGCAUAUUUCUGUUUCUUCAUUUCUUGACUAUUUUCUUUUUUGACUAUUGAUUGGUUAACAGUUCCUACAGUAGCUGUACGGCUGCCUCCUAUUCAGUGGUUACAAAUAACUAACUAAAUAAACAAACAGUUGAAAUUUA